CAAUAGCGUAUAUUAAAGUUGUUGCGGUUAAAAAGCUCGUAGUUGGAUUUCUGCCGAGGACGACCGGUCCGCCCUCUGGGUGAGUAUCUGGCUCGGCCUGGGCAUCUUCUUGGAGAACGUAGCUGCACUUGACUGUGUGGUGCGGUAUCCAGGACUUUUACUUUGAGGAAAUUAGAGUGUUUCAAGCAGGCUUACGCCUUGAAUACAUUAGCAUGGAAUAAUAAGAUAGGACCUCGGUUCUAUUUUGUUGGUUUCUAGAGCUGAGGUAAUGAUUAAUAGGGAUAGUUGGGGGCAUUCGUAUUUAACUGUCAGAGGUGAAAUUCUUGGAUUUAUGAAAGACGAACUUCUGCGAAAGCAUUUGCCAAGGAUGUUUUCAUUAA
rnacentral:rRNA from 1 species